UACGUAGGGCGCAAGCGUUAUCCGGAAUUAUUGGGCGUAAAGAGCUCGUAGGCGGUUUGUCGCGUCUGCCGUGAAAGUCCGGGGCUCAACUCCGGAUCUGCGGUGGGUACGGGCAGACUAGAGUGAUGUAGGGGAGACUGGAAUUCCUGGUGUAGCGGUGAAAUGCGCAGAUAUCAGGAGGAACACCGAUGGCGAAGGCAGAUCUCUGGGCCGUAACUGACGCUGAGGAGCGAAAGCAUGGGGAGCGGACAGG
rnacentral:rRNA from 1 species